GGGCCAUUAGCUCAGGCGGUUAGAGCGCUGUGCUGAUAACGCAGAGGUCUGUGGUUCGAGUCCACAAUGGCCCA
rnacentral:tRNA from 1 species